GACGAACGCUGGCGGCGUGCUUAACACAUGCCAGUCGAACGGAAAGGCCCUGCUUUUGUGGGGUGCUCGAGUGGCGAACGGGUGAGUAACACGUGAGUAACCUGCCCUUGACUUUGGGAUAACUUCAGGAAACUGGGGCUACUACCGGAUAGGAGCUCCUGCUGCAUGGUGGGGGUUGGAACGUUUCGGCGGUUGGGGAUGGACUCGCGGCUUAUCAGCUUGUUGGUGGGGUAGUGGCUUACCAAGGCUUUGACGGGUAGCCGGCCUGAGAGAGUGACCGGCCACAUGGGGACUGAGAUACGGCCCAGACUCCUACGGGAGGCAGCAGUGGGGAAUAUUGCACAAUGGUCGGAAGCCUGAUGCAGCAACGCCGCGUGCGGGAUGACGGCCUUCGGGUUGUAAACCGCUUUCGCCUGUGACGAAGCGUGAGUGACGGUAAUGGGUAAAGAAGCACCGGCUAACUACGUG
rnacentral:rRNA from 1 species